rnacentral:lncRNA from 1 species
AUGAUCAGAACCAACCAACCCCUCCUCUUCCUCUUUUGUCCUAUGAUCAGAACCAACCAACCCCUCCUCUUCCUCAUAUUGUCCUAUGAUCAGAACCAACCCCUCUUCCUCAUAUUGUCAUAUGAUCAGAACCAACACAACCCCUCCUCUUCCUCAUAUUAUCCUAUGAUCAGAACCAACCCCUCCUCCUUGUAUUGUGCUAUGAUCAGAACCAACCCAAUCCAACCCCUCCUCCUCGUAUUAUCCUAUGAUCAGAACCAACCCAACCCCUCCUCCUCGUAUUAUCCUAUGAUCAGAACCAAUCCCUCCUCCUCAUAUUGUCCUAUGAUCAGAACCAAUCCAACCCCUCCUCCUCGUAUUAUCCUAUGAUCAGAACCAAUCCCUCCUCCUCAUAUUGUCCUAUGAUCAGAACCAAUCCAACCCCUCCUCCUCGUAUUAUCCUAUGAUCAGAACCAAUCCCUCCUCCUCAUAUUAUCCUAUGAUCAGAACCAACCCAAUCCAACCCCUCCUCCUCCUCGUAUUGUCCUAUGAUCAGAACCAACCCAACCCUGCAUGAUACCACUGAACUAAAUAUUUCAGAAAAUACUUUGUCAUUAACGUGUUGUUGCUUUCAUGAUAAAAUGUGGGGACUUUAAAUGUCACAGUGAGACUGGUGUGGUGCUCUUCUCUUCUAUAGCCUAUGGAUCCAUCAUACAGCAUGUUGACUCAAAACCCUGUUCCGUUUUCAUCCUAGUUUACUAUCACCCAUAGUGGUAUUGUUGUUGCUCGUGAUGACUCCCGGAGGUGCAGUUGGCUUUUGGUCAUUCUAAUCAGAAGAAAGCUUGACCUGAGCUUGUCUUUUUUUUUUUAAGAAAACAAAUACUAUUUGAACCCAGGUCUGCUUGGGUUAUCCAGACAGUACCAAAGCCUGGACCUAAUCCCUCACAGAGAAGAACCAUAUUACAAUCCAAUCUAUCUAUGAUACUGUUUAUUCAUAGUGGGAGUUUUUCCCUGUCAGAAUCUGUAAUGCCACUUCGGGAAUAGGAGUACAGUAUUACACUCAGUAGUACACUCAGUAUUACACUCAGCAGUACACUCAGUAGUAGUACACUCAGCAGUACACUCAGCAGUACACUCAGCAGUACACUCAGCAGUACACUCAGUAGUAGUACACUCAGCAGUACACUCAGUAGUAGUUCACUCAGCAGUACACUCAGUAGUAGUACACUCAGUAGUAGUACACUCAGUAGUAGUUCACUCAGCAGUACACUCAGUAGUAGUACACUCAGUAGUACACUCAGCAGUACACUCAGUAGUAGUACACUCAGCAUACACUCAGUAGUAGUACACUCAGUAGUAGUUCACUCAGCAGUACACUCAGUAGUAGUACACUCAGCAGUACACUCAGCAGUACACUCAGCAGUACACUCAGUAGUACACUCAGUAGUAUACUCAGCAGUACACUCAGCAGUACACUCAGUAGUAGUACACUCAGCAGUACACUCAGUAGUACACUCAGCAGUACACUCAGUAGUAGUACACUCAGCAUACACUCAGUAGUAGUACACUCAGCAUACACUCAGUAGUAGUUCACUCAGUAGUACACUCAGUAGUACACUCAGUAGUACACUCAGUAGUACACUCAGCAGUACACUCAGUAGUAGUACACUCAGCAGUACACUCAGUAGUAGUACACUCAGCAGUACACUCAGCAGUACACUCAGUAGUACACUCAGUAGUAGUACACUCAGUAGUAGUACACUCAGCAGUACACUCAGUAGUACACUCAGUAGUAGUACACUCAGUAGUACACUCAGUAGUACACUCAGCAGUACACUCAGUGAUCCAUCCGUGCUCUGUUUUCCUUUUUAUUUGCAUGGGAGGGUUCAGUCUCCCAUUUCCACCCCAUAGUGGUUGUUUUAUUUGCAUGGGAUGGUUCAGUCUCCCAUUUCCACCCCAUAGUGGUUGUUUAUCGUUGUUGAUGACGAUGAUGAGUGUGUAGAGACCAUUGUGUGUGUUACACCAUCACCUCAUCAACCUACCCAAUACCUAACCUAACCUAUACCUAAACCCUUCAUAACUAGUCUCCUAUCGAUGGCUUGAUCUAUUAUUGACCCCUACCCUUCAUAACUAGUCUCCUAUCGAUAGAUUGAUCUAUCAGACACCUACCCUUCAUAACUAGUCUCCUAUCGAUAGAUUGAUCUAUUAUUGAUCUAUUAUUGACCCCUACCCUUCAUAACUAAUCUCCUAUCGAUGGAUUGAUCUAUCAGACACCUACCCUUCAUAACUAGUCUCCUAUCGAUGGAUUGAUCUAUUAUUGAUCUAUUAUUGACCCCUACCCUUCAUAUUAGUCUCCUAUCGAUAGAUUGAUCUAUUAUUGACCCCUACCCUUCAUAACUAGUCUCCUAUCGAUAGAUUGAUCUAUUAUUGACCCCUACCCUUCAUAACUAGUCUCCUAUCGAUGGAUUGAUCUAUCAGACCCCUAUCUGUCUGGUAGACCCAGGGCCGGCUCCAGGUAUAAGUGACAUAAGUUCAGUCGGGGUCUCAACUCACAGAGAGUUAGAAUAGUAACACCAGGUGAAAGUUGGACAUGUGGUUGUGCAUCUGCAGUUUUUCUCUUAUGUCGGUCACUGACAGUCACUCAAUUAGCCUUGUCCGCUAACAACUGUUAGAUUGGUAAGUUAGUCUAGCCAGCUUGUAGUAAUCAUGGUCAAAUAUCGACCAGGCACGCAGGGCACGUGUCCAGAGGCCCUGACUUCCAGGGCCCCCCCCCCCCCCCCCCCCCAUUGAUUUUGUUAGUCACUAAUAUCACUUAUAUCAUUAACAUGGCAUACACUACCGGUCAAAAGUUUUAGAACACCGACUCAUUCAAGAGUUUGUCUUUAUUUGUACUAUUUUCAACAUUGUAGGAUAAUAGUGAAGACCUCAAAACUGUGAAAUAACACAUAUGGAAUCAUGUAGUAACCAAAAAUGUGUUAAACAAAUCGAAAUAUAUUAUAUAUUUCAGAUUCUUCAAAUAUCCACCCUUUGCCUUGAUGACAGCUUUGCACACUCUUGGCACUCUCACAACCAGCUUCACCUGGAAUCAUCAAACCAUCUCAAUUGGGUUGAGGUCGUGGGAUUGUGGAGGUGUCUUCGUAACUAUGGGUCUUCCUUUCCUGUGGCGGUCCUCAUGAGCGCCAGUGUAAUCAUUGCGCUUGAUGGGGCGGCAGGGUAGCCUAGUGGUUAGAGCAUUGGACUAGUAACCGAAAGGUUGCAAGUUCAAACCCCCAAGCUGACAAGGUACAAAUCUGUCGUUCAGCCCCUGAACAGGCAGUUAACCCACUGUUCCCAGGCCGUCAUUGAAAAUAAGAAUUUGUUCUUAACUGAUUUGCCUAGUUAAAUAAAGGUAAAAUAAAAAUAAAAUAAAAAAGGUCAGGUCAUCUGAUGCAGCACUCCAUCACUCUCCUUGGUCAAAUAGCCCUUACACAGCCUGGAGGUGUGUUGGGUCAUUGUCCUGUUGAAAAACAAAUGAUAGUCCCACUAAGCAGAAACCAGAUGGGAUGGCAUAUUGCUGCAGAAUGCUGGUUAAGUGUCCCUUGACUUCUAAAUAAAUCACUGACAGUGUCACCAGCAAAGCACCCCCACACCAUCACACCACCUCCUCCAUGCUUUAUGGGAAAUACACAAUGCGGAGAUCAUCCGUUCAGCAAAACCGCAUCUCACAAAGACACGGCGGUUGGAACCAAAAAUCUCAAAUUUGGACUCCAGACCAAAGGACAAAUUCCGAUCGGUCUAAUGUUCAUUGCUCAUGUUUCUUGGCCCAAGCAAGUCUCUUCUUAUUAUUGGUGUCCUUUAGUAGUGGUUUCUUUGCAGCAAUUCGAUCAUGAAGGCCUGAUUCAAUCAGUUUCUGAGGCUGGUAGCUCUAAUGAACUUAUCCUCUGCAGCAGAGGUAACUAUGGGUCUUCCUUUCCUGUGGCGGUCCUCAUGAGCGCCAGUGUAAUCAUUGCGCUUGAUGGUUUUUGCGACUGCACUUGAAACAUUCAAAGUUCUUGAAAUGUUCCGUAUUGACUGACCUUCAUGUCUUAAAGUAAUGAUGGACUGUUGUUUCUCUUUGCUUAUUUGAGCUGUUCUUGCCAUAAUAUGGACUUGGUCUUUUACCAAAUAGGGCUAUCUUCUGUAUACUCCCCCUACCUUGUCACAACACAACUGAUUGGCUAAAACGCAUUGAGAAGGAAACAAAUUCCACAAAUUAACCUGUCAAUUGAAAUACAUUCCAGGUGACUACCUCGUGGAGCUGGUUGAGAGAAUGCCAAGCGUGUGCAAAGCUGUCAUGAAGAAAAAGGGUGGCUAUUUGAUUUGUUUGACACUUUUUUGGUUACUACAUGAUUCCAAAUGUGUGAUUUCAUUGUUUUGAUGUUUUCAUUAUUAUUCUACAAUGUAGAAAAUACCUUGAAAUACCCGGAAGUGUAAGUCAUGGCAAAAUGUGUAGAAUUGAAGAAAAUUCUACACACAAAAAUCUCUCCGCCGUCGGGAGCGGAGGAGGGGGGAGGAACCAAAAUGUUUCGCUUGCAACCAAAUCUCGUUUAGGGUCUUCAAAAUGCUAGAGCCAUCCCUGGGUAGACCCUUACCAGAACAUCCACCGUCAUAACCUCCAUCACAGUGUUAGAGUUACCAAUAGUUACCAUUAUUUACCAAUUGUUUUAUAUAAUGCCAACCAUGCAUUUUAGGAAUCUUUGUUGUAGCUUGUUCGAUGGGACAGUCACAAAAAUGUAAAAUUAAACGAUAUACAAAGAAUGUGUGUCAUGAAGUGGGAACAAAAUGUGGCAUUCCUCCUGACAUCUUGUUCACCGCCUGUUAUUAUUCAAUGUAAAUAUCAAUACUGUAUGUUACAAUAAAAUAAUACCCCCCCAACUAAUGUGUUUGUGGUAUGUAUGUGUAUCUGUCUAUAUACAGUUGAAGUCAGAAGUUUACAUAAACCUUAGCCAAAUACAUUUAAACUCAGUUUUUCACAAUUCCUGACA